rnacentral:misc_RNA from 1 species
GAUGAAGAACGUAGCGAAAUGCGAUAACUAGUGUGAAUUGCAGAAUUCAGUGAAUCAUCGAAUCUUUGAACGCACAUUGCGCCCCUUGGUAUCCCGAGGGGCAUGCCUGUUCGAGCGUCAUUUCACCACUCAAGCCUGGCUUGGUGUUGGGCGACGUCCCCUUUGGGGACGCGCCUCGAAACGCUCGGCGGCGUGGCACCGGCUUUAAGCGUAGCAGAAUCUUUCGCUUUGGAAGUCGGGGCCCCGUCUGCCGGAAGACCUACUCGCAAGGUUGACCUCGGAUCAGGCAGGGAUACCCGCUGAACUUAAGCAUAUCAAUAAGCGGAGGA